rnacentral:rRNA from 1 species
GACGAACGCUGGCGGCGUGCUUAACACAUGCAAGUCGAACGAAGAGCGAUGGAAGCUUGCUUCUAUCAAUCUUAGUGGCGAACGGGUGAGUAACGCGUAAUCAACCUGCCCUUCAGAGGGGGACAACAGUUGGAAACGACUGCUAAUACCGCAUACGAUCUAAUCUCGGCAUCGAGGAUAGAUGAAAGGUGGCCUCUACAUGUAAGCUAUCACUGAAGGAGGGGAUUGCGUCUGAUUAGCUAGUUGGAGGGGUAACGGCCCACCAAGGCGAUGAUCAGUAGCCGGUCUGAGAGGAUGAACGGCCACAUUGGGACUGAGACACGGCCCAGACUCCUACGGGAGGCAGCAGUGGGGAAUCUUCCGCAAUGGACGAAAGUCUGACGGAGCAACGCCGCGUGAGUGAUGACGGCCUUCGGGUUGUAAAGCUCUGUUAAUCGGGACGAAAGGCCUUCCUGCGAACAGUUAGAAGGAUUGACGGUACCGGAAUAGAAAGCCACGGCUAACUACGUG